UCGAGGGGUAGAAGAGGCUUGCUUCUUUGAGACCGGCGCACGGGUGCGUAACGCGUAUGCAACCUACCUUCAUCUGGGGGAUAGCCCGGAGAAAUCCGGAUUAACGCCGCAUAAAAUCACAGUACUGCAUAGUACAAUGAUCAAAUAUUUAUAGGGUGGAGAUGGGCAUGCGUGUCAUUAGCUAGUUGGCGGGGUAACGGCCCACCAAGGCGACGAUGACUAGGGAUCUAAGAGGAUGGCCCCCCACACUGGUACUGAGACACGGACCAGACUCC
rnacentral:rRNA from 1 species